CGCCAUGCUUAAAGCCUUUAUUUGGUGUUAGACCAAUCUAUAAUACCUUCAGGUCCCAUAAUUAAAGUAGUGUCAGUAGCCAUAAAGAACUUAUCUGCAGACUUGAGCCAAUUUGAGAGGCGAUAAAGAAUUAAGGAGAAAAUAUCUUCGAAGGUCGCAGUUCCAUCAUUGAAGAUUACCUUGUUCCUCAUAAGCCAUAU
rnacentral:lncRNA from 1 species